UACGUAGGGUGCGAGCGUUGUCCGGAAUUACUGGGCGUAAAGGGCUCGUAGGCGGCCAACUAAGUCAGACGUGAAAUCCCCAGGCUCAACCUGGGAACUGCGUCUGAUACUGGAUGGCUUGAAUCCGGGAGAGGGAUGCAGAAUUCCAGGUGUAGCGGUGAAAUGCGUAGAUAUCUGGAGGAAUACCGGUGGCGAAGGCGGCAUCCUGGACCGGCAUUGACGCUGAGGAGCGAAAGCCAGGGGAGCAAACGGG
rnacentral:rRNA from 1 species